AACGCACAUUGCGCCCUUCGGCUAUUCCGUCGGGCAUGCCUGUUCGAGCGUCAUUUGAAAAGUUCAGGCCGUCUGGCUUGGUGCUGGGUGUUUGUUCCGCCUCUGCGCGCGAACUCGCCUCAAACGAAUUGGCAGUUCGGUAGACCUGGCCCUGCGUGCAGCAGAUUGCACCGGCAGAUGCUUUGGCUGCCUACUCUCCAGUAAGCUACUCCAUUGUUUGACCUCGGAUCAGGUAGGGAUACCCGCUGAACUUAA
rnacentral:misc_RNA from 1 species